GACGAACGCUGGCGGCGUGCCUAAUACAUGCAAGUAGAACGCACAGUUUAUACCGUAGCUUGCUACACCAUAGACUGUGAGUUGCGAACGGGUGAGUAACGCGUAGCUAACCUGCCUGGUAGCGGGGGGUAACUAUUGUAAACGAUAGCUAAUACCGCAUAAUAUUAAUUAUUGCAUGAUAAUUAAUUGAAAGGUGCAAUUGCACCACUACUAGAUGGACCUGCGGUGUAUUAGCUAGUAGGUGAGGUAACGGCUCACCUACGCGACGAUACAUAGCCGACAUGAGAGGGUGAUUGGCCACACUGGGAGGGAGACAAGGCCCAGACUACUACGGGAGGGAGCAGGAGGGAAACGUCGGCAAUGGACGGAAGUCUGACCGAGAAACGCCGCGUGAGGGAAGAAGGUUUUCGGAUCGGAAAGGUCUGUUGUAAGGGAAGAAAGGGUGUGAGAGUGGAAAGUUCACACUGUGACGGUAUCUUACCAGAAAGGGACGGCUAACUACGUG
rnacentral:rRNA from 1 species